GACGAACGCUGGCGGCGUGCCUAAUACAUGCAAGUCGAGCGGACGGAUGGGAGCCUGCUCCCAGACCGUCAGCGGCGGACGGGUGAGUAACACGUGGGCAACCUGCCUGUAAGACUGGGAUAACUCCGGGAAACCGGGGCUAAUACCGGAUAACUCUUUCCCUCACAUGAGGGAAAGCUGAAAGAUGGCAUCUCGCUAUCACUUACAGAUGGGCCCGCGGCGCAUUAGCUAGUUGGUGAGGUAACGGCUCACCAAGGCGACGAUGCGUAGCCGACCUGAGAGGGUGAUCGGCCACACUGGGACUGAGACACGGCCCAGACUCCUACGGGAGGCAGCAGUAGGGAAUCUUCCGCAAUGGACGAAAGUCUGACGGAGCAACGCCGCGUGAGUGAUGAAGGUUUUCGGAUCGUAAAACUCUGUUGUCAGGGAAGAACAAGUACCGGAGUAACUGCCGGUACCUUGACGGUACCUGACCAGAAAGCCACGGCUAACUACGUG
rnacentral:rRNA from 1 species